AUUGAACGCUGGCGGCAGGCCUAACACAUGCAAGUCGAACGAGUGGCGGACGGGUGAGUAAUGUCUGGGAAACUGCCUGAUGGAGGGGGAUAACUACUGGAAACGGUAGCUAAUACCGCAUACCAUCGGAUGUGCCCAGAUGGGAUUAGCUAGUAGGUGGGGUAACGGCUCACCUAGGCGACGAUCCCUAGCUGGUCUGAGAGGAUGACAGUCCACCCUGGAACUGUGGCACGGUCCAGAUUCCUACGGGGGGCAGCAGUGGGGAAUAUUGCACAUUGGGCGAAAGCCUAAUGCAGCCAUGCCUCGUUUAUGCAGAAGGCCUUCGGGUUGUAUAGUACUUUCAUCGGGGAGGCGUUACCCGCAGAAGAAGCACCGGCUAACUCCGUGCCAGCAGCCGCGGUAAUAC
rnacentral:rRNA from 1 species